rnacentral:rRNA from 1 species
UACGGAGGGUGCAAGCGUUAUCCGGAUUUACUGGGUUUAAAGGGUGCGUAGGCGGUUUGGCAAGUCUUGUGUGAAAUCUUCGGGCUCAACCCGAAGCCUGCAUAAGAAACUGCCGGGCUUGAGUAUGGGAGAGGUGAGUGGAAUUUCCGGUGUAGCGGUGAAAUGCGUAGAUAUCGGAAGGAACACCUGUGGCGAAAGCGGCUCACUGGACCAUAACUGACGCUGAGGCACGAAAGCGAGGGGAGCAAACAGG